UCCAGACUCCUACGGGAGGCAGCAGUGGGGAAUAUUGCACAAUGGGGGAAACCCUGAUGCAGCGACGCCGCGUGGAGGAAGAAGGUCUUCGGAUUGUAAACUCCUGUCCUUGGGGACGAUAAUGACGGUACCCAAGGAGGAAGCACCGGCUAACUACGUGCCAGCAGCCGCGGUAAUACGUAGGGGGCAAGCGUUAUCCGGAAUUAUUGGGCGUAAAGAGUACGUAGGUGGCAACCUAAGCGCAGGGUUUAAGGCAAUGGCUCAACCAUUGUUCGCCCUGCGAACUGGGAUGCUUGAGUGCAGGAGAGGAAAGCGGAAUUCCUAGUGUAGCGGUGAAAUGCGUAGAUAUUAGGAGGAACACCAGUGGCGAAGGCGGCUUUCUGGACUGUAACUGACACUGAGGUACUAAAGCGUGGGGAGCAAACAGGAUUAGAUACCCCGGUAUCA
rnacentral:rRNA from 1 species